UACGAAGGGGGCUAGCGUUGUUCGGAAUUACUGGGCGUAAAGGGCGCGUAGGCGGUGUGUCAAGUCAGGCGUGAAAGCCCCGGGCUCAACCUGGGAACCGCGCUUGAGACUGGCACGCUAGAGUUCGGGAGAGGUGAGUGGAACUCCGAGUGUAGAGGUGAAAUUCGUAGAUAUUCGGAAGAACACCAGUGGCGAAGGCGGCUCACUGGUCCGGGACUGACGCUGAUGUGCUAAAGCGUGGGGAGCAAACAGG
rnacentral:rRNA from 1 species